rnacentral:rRNA from 1 species
UACGUAGGGUGCGAGCGUUAAUCGGAAUCACUGGGCUUAAAGCGUGUGUAGGCGGAUGCCUAAGUACCUUGUGAAAUCCCACGGCUCAACCGUGGAACUGCUUGGUAUACUGGGUGUCUUGAGCCACUUAGGGGCUACCGGAACAAAUGGUGGAGCGGUGAAAUGCGUAGAUAUGCGGAGGAACACCGAUGGCGAAGGCAAUCCCCUGGACCUGUACUGACGCUCAUGCACGAAAGCGUGGGGAGCAAACAGG